GGACUAUAUUUUGCUUUGCUGAUCAUGCCCUUUCAGUUCUAAAAGUGGCAGGUUCACUUUCAAAUGUUUAAGUUACACAAAUUCUAGCGUGAAGCUAUAACUUAAUUGUAUGAUUUGAUUUUAGGAUUUUGAUAAACUAGCUGUUUGAUAAAUGUCAGUGAGAUAUUUAUAGAAAAUUUAAUCUACAUAACUCUUGAAAAUUGAAACUUUUCUGCAAUUUAAUUAUCACUUGAAAUUAAAUGUGCAUGAUCUCAUUAAAUAAAGUAUUAAAUCUAAUGGUUGCUUGUAAAUAAUCAAAUUGUACUGAAGUUAUGAAUCUUGUACAAAUUUCUUUAGUU
rnacentral:misc_RNA from 1 species